rnacentral:rRNA from 1 species
UACGAAGGGGGCUAGCGUUGUUCGGAUUUACUGGGCGUAAAGCGCACGUAGGCGGAUCGUUAAGUCGGGGGUGAAAUCCUGGAGCUCAACUCCAGAACUGCCUUCGAUACUGGCGAUCUUGAGUCCGGAAGAGGUGAGUGGAACUCCUAGUGUAGAGGUGGAAUUCGUAGAUAUCAGGAGGAACACCGGUGGCGAAGGCGGAUCUCUGGGCCGAUACUGACGCUGAGGAGCGAAAGCGUGGGGAGCGAACAGG